GUAGAAUACCAGUGACGCGCCUAUAAAUUAAGAACAAUGGUGAACGGGAAGAAUCAAACACUCCAUACUCCAAACUUGUAAACAUAUACGUAUAUGCUUUGUUGGUCUCGUCUCUGCCCUGCAGCCGAAGGCGUAGCUCUUAUUCCUGCCAGGAAAGAAAAGGAAAUCCCCCAGAUCGAUCUAAUUCGACCAGCGCACGUACCACUAGCUGCCCAGCUAUGAAGGUUACUGCUAAGACCCGACAGUUGCUUCUCUUGGUGUUGGUGGCUUGCACUGCACAUGCCGCCAUCUGCAGCUCCUCCUCCUUGCAUGGAAACGAGACAGAUCGACUAUCACUGCUGGGAUUCAAAAAUGCAAUCAGUCUCGAUCCGCAGCAAGUCUUCAUGUCCUGGAACGAUAGCACACACUUCUGCAACUGGGAAGGUGUCUUGUGCAGGACAAAGAAGACUCUACCACAUCGUGUCACUUCUCUAAACCUUACAAGCCGAGGUUUGGUAGGAGUAGGACACAUCUCUCCUACACUUGGGAACCUUUCAUUCUUGCACUCUCUAGCCCUGACGGAAAACUCACUUACCGGGGAGAUUCCGCCCUCCCUGUCACUUGCGCCGCCUCCAAACCUUGCACUUGGAAAAUAACACACUGCAAGGUAGGAUACCGAGUUUUGCAAACUGCUCGAAGCUCAAGGAUCUGCGUUUUUCAUUUAACAAUCUAGUUGGCCAAUUUCCUGCUGAUUUGCCUCCUCGCCUUCAGCUGUUAAAACUUCCAGCUAAUAACCUCACUGGCACCAUCCCAGCUUCUCUUGCCAAUAUCACAACACUAAAAGUGAUUUCCUUUGCAUAUAAUCACUUCAAGGGAAAUAUCCCAAGUGAGUUUGCAGACUUGUCCAGCUUGCAGACCCUGUAUGUUGGUAUCAAUCAGCUCACAGGUAGGUUUCCCCAAGCCAUCUUGAAUCUUUCUACACUUGUCGGCCUUUCCCUUGCUCUCAAUGGUCUAAGUGGGGAGGUACCACCAAAUUUAUGUUCCUCACUUCCCAAUCUCCAGAUACUUCAAUUGGGAGCCAACUUGUUUCGAGGGCACAUUCCUAGUUCACUUGCUAAUGCUUCCAAUCUAAUCUUCAUUUAUUUGAGCCGAAACCACUUCACCGGAUCGGUGCCCAAGAUUGGCAAACUUACCAACCUCGCACAUUUGAAUCUUGAAAGAAAUCAACUCCAAGCACAUAGCAGGGAAGAUUGGGAGUUUUUGGACAGCUUAGGCAACUGUACGGAGCUACAAGUGUUCGGGAUGGGUUGGAAUCGUCUAUCAGGGCAGGUACCAAGUUCAUUAGGCAACCUUUCGAGUCAAAUCCAACGUCUAUACUUGAAUGAAAAUCAACUAUAGGGAGGUUUUCCUCCCGGCAUAGAAAACCAUCGCAACCUGUUUGUUUUAGCAUUGGAGGGGAAUCAUUUUACAGGUGUGCUUCCUGAGUGGAUUGGAAUUCUCAAACCUUUGGAACAAGUUCGUUUGAACACAAACUUCUUUACAGGGAUCAUUCCAUCAUCCUUGUCCAACUUGUCUCAAUUGGGAUUGCUCACUAUAUUCUCGAACCAGUUAACUGGCCAUAUACCACCAAGUUUUGGAAACUUUCCAAUGCUUCAAUAUUUGGACAUUUCCAGCAACAAUCUUGAUGGUAAGAUUCCAAUGGAGAUCUUCAAAAUACCAGCAAUAAAUAUAAUUAAUGUAUCUUUCAAUAACCUCCACGGACAACUUCCUACAAGCAUUGGGAAUGCUAAACAACUCAUAAAUUUUGCGUCUUCAUCAAACAAGCUAUCCGGAGAUAUUCCAAACAGUCUGGGUGAUUGUGAAAGUUUAGAAUACAUUGAAUUAGACUCAAAUAUUUUUAUUGGAAGCAUUCCCACUUCAUUAGGCCACAUAACCAGCCUCAAAGUUUUGAACUGUUCCACCAAUAACUUAACUGGGCCAAUACCAAUAACUCUUGGCAACCUACAAUAUCUUGAGAAAAUAGAUUUGUCAUUCAACAAUCUUAAAGGUGAGGUUCCAACAAAAGGUAUCUUCCGUAAUGCUACUGUUGUGUGGAUUGAUGGAAACAAGGGUCUUUGUGGUGGGGCACUGGAGUUACACAUGCCAGCAUGUUCUAUUAUGCCUUCAAGUUCAACUAGACACAAGAAAUAUUUAGUGCUCGAAGGAGUUAUACUAACAGCCAGUAUGGUGUCACUUGCUAUUGUCAUAUUUGGCUUAAUUCUCUGGAGAGGAAAACACAAGAGAGAAUCUAUAUCUUUGCCUUCAUUUUCUACAACAUUUCCCAAAGUUCCUUUCAAUGAUCUAGCGAGAGCAACACAAGGAUUUUCAACAUCCAACUUAAUUGGCAACGGGAGGUAUAGUUCUGUAUACCAAGGAAAACUAUUUGAAGAAGAAAAUGAGGUUGCAGUAAAAGUCUUCAACCUCGAGACAAGAGGAGCACAAAAGAGCUUUUUUGCGGAAUGUAAUGCAUUGAAAAAUCUUCGGCACCACAAUCUGGUCCCAAUUCGAACUGCAUGCUCAAGUACUUAUUCUAAUGGUAUUGAUUUCAAGGCCCUAGUGUAUGAGUUCAUGCCACGAGGAGACUUACAUAAACUACUAUAUUCAACUAGAGACUCUGAAGGAUCUUCAAAGUUGAACCUUCUUACAAUGACUCAAAGGAUGAGCAUUAUGGUGGAUGUAGCAGAUGCAAUGGAGUACCUACACCAUAACAAUCAAGGAACAAUGGUUCAUUGUGAUCUGAAGCCUAGCAACAUUCUUUUGGAUGACAAUAUGACAGCUCAUGUUGGAGACUUUGGCUUGGCAAGAUUCAAAGUUGGUUCCACGGUGUUAUCUCUUGGUAACCCAAACUCUUCUUCGGUUGGACUAAUGGGGACGAUCGGAUACGCUGCUCCAGAAUAUGCAAGUGGUGGUCAAGUUUCAACCGCCGCAGAUGUUUACAGCUUUGGUGUUGUCCUCCUCGAGAUAUUCCUUGGGAGAAGGCCAACUGAUGACAUGUUUAAGGAUGGACUGAGUAUUGUGAAGUUUACAGAGAUCAGUUUACGUGAUAGAGUAAUUGAGAUUAUCGAUCCUCAACUGAUACAAGAGUUGGAGCUUUGUCAUGAUACUCCAAUUGGUUUGAAUGGAAAAGGUGUAUGCUCUCUGCUAUGUAUGCUAAACAUUGGUCUUUGCUGCACCAAGACAUCUCCGGGUAUUCGCAUCAACAUGCAAGAGGUGGCUGCCAAGCUACAUGGUAUCAGAGAUGCAUAUAUCAUAGAGAACUGAAGUAGCACUUUCGUUGCUUAUGUAGCAUUAGCUAUCUUAACAAGUACAUUUUUGUAAGAUUGGCGCUUGUUGCACAGCCUAUAUGUUAGGAACGGAUUUACGAAUUUCAAACCUUGUGUUUUGUUACUACAUCAGCCAAUCGUUGUAAAUCUCUAACGUUUGUAACCUAUCCCGAUAUAGUGAAAUUCGUUGGCUGGAGCCCGUGGUUUUUUCCCUUCUCAUUGGAGGGGUUUUCCACGC
rnacentral:rRNA from 1 species